GUGGGGAAUUUUGGACAAUGGGCGCAAGCCUGAUCCAGCAAUUCCGCGUGCAGGAAGAAGGCCUUCGGGUUGUAAACUGCUUUUGUACGGAACGAAACGGCUCUGGUUAAUACCCGGGGCUAAUGACGGUACCGUAAGAAUAAGCACCGGCUAACUACGUGCCAGCAGCCGCGGUAAUACGUAGGGUGCAAGCGUUAAUCGGAAUUACUGGGCGUAAAGCGUGCGCAGGCGGUUUUGUAAGACAGGCGUGAAAUCCCCGGGCUCAACCUGGGAAUGGCGCUUGUGACUGCAAAGCUGGAGUGCGGCAGAGGGGGAUGGAAUUCCGCGUGUAGCAGUGAAAUGCGUAGAUAUGCGGAGGAACACCGAUGGCGAAGGCAAUCCCCUGGGCCUGCACUGACGCUCAUGCACGAAAGCGUGGGGAGCAAACAGGAUUAGAAACCCCAGUAGUCC
rnacentral:rRNA from 1 species